GUUCAAGAGUACGUGAAACCGUUCAGGGGUAAACCUGAGAAACCCAAAAGAUUGAAUGGGGAGAUUCAUCGUCAGCUCAUUUUGUAUAUGUAUAAAUUAUGAUGUAGGUUACACUUGUUGUAUUGCUUGCACAUAUUUGUACAUUUUUUUGCAAUAUGCUGUCGGCGUGCACUUCUCCCCUAGUAAAACAUUGCGACCCGUUGAAUGCCGUUUUACGACCCAAGUAGGUAGACUUUAAUGUUUCACAAUAUUAAAGACCUUUGGUGUUUUCUAAACGGCUAUUCGGCGGUACUCGUACGGUAUUUAGCCGCAAUUAUAUGCGUUCAUAUCCGUCGCAAGCGAGAUUAAUUUCUAGUAGUAUGGACUUAGUGCCGUCGCUGGUAUUGAUCCGCUGUUGGCAGUUACGGUUAUUCUUGAACUGGCUAAAAUUAUUACCGGUCAGCAAUGCUACUGCUUUGGGUACUUUCAGGACCCGUCUUGAAACACGGACCAAGGAGUCUAACAUGUGCGCGAGUCAUUGGGAUGUUUUUUUAAAUUAAACCUAAAGGCACAAUGAAAGUAAAAGUCGUCCUUGUGUCGACUAAGGGAGGAUAAGUUUAUAUUUAACAUAUAACUUUGCACUCCCGGGGCGUCUCGUUCUCAUU
rnacentral:rRNA from 1 species